rnacentral:rRNA from 1 species
UGAACUCCACAUACGCAUCCUUUGCUGAGGAUACGGUUAACGGAGCGAAAGCGACGUUCAACCGCAAAAGAAGCAGAGGGGGCUUAGUGGUGGGGUGACUGCGUACCUUUUGUAUAAUGGGUCAGCGACUUAUAUUCUGUAGCAAGGUUAACCGUAUAGGGGAGCCGGAGGGAAACCGAGUCUUAACCGGGCGUUAAGUUGCAGGGUAUAGACCCGAAACCCGGUGAUCUAGCCAUGGGCAGGUUGAAGGUUGGGUAACACUAACUGGAGGACCGAACCGACUAAUGUUGAAAAAUUAGCGGAUGACCUGUGGCUGGGGGUGAAAGGCCAAUCAAACCGGGAGAUAGCUGGUUCUCCCCGAAAGCUAUUUAGGUAGCGCCUCGUGAAUUCAUCUCCGGGGGUAGAGCACUGUUUCGGCUAGGGGGCCAUCCCGGCUUACCAACCCGAUGCAAACUGCGAAUACCGGAGAAUGUUAUCACGGGAGACACACGGCGGGUGCUAACGUCCGUCGUGAAGAGGGAAACAACCCAGACCGCCAGCUAAGGUCCCAAAGUCAUGGUUAAGUGGGAAACGAUGUGGGAAGGCCCAGACAGCCAGGAUGUUGGCUUAGAAGCAGCCAUCAUUUAAAGAAAGCGUAAUAGCUCACUGGUCGAGUCGGCCUGCGCGGAAGAUGUAACGGGGCUAAACCAUGCACCGAAGCUGCGGCAGCGAACGUAUCACUUAAAGCGAUUCAGCGGGUUACGAUUGACGGAGCGAAGCGACGUCAAAGCGUAUACAAAGUCGAGUCGGUUUAAGGAUACGUUCGUUGGGUAGGGGAGCGUUCUGUAAGCCCGUGAAGGUGG